CAGAGGGUAGUUUGAUUAAAAAUAUUAAUUUUGGGGAUUAAUGAAAAAGAGUUUCUUUUCCUCUGA
rnacentral:tRNA from 2 species